GUUCUGUCUUCUUUGUUUACAUACAUUUUCUGAAUAUUUGCUUCAAAACUGUCUCCCUGUCUAUAGCAGCAUACAACAUGAUUCAAGGGAGAAAUCCCAUGGGUGGAGGCUUUGGAAUCUGAGUCUGAUGAUGAUGGGGAGUCAACUUCAGAGGUCCUUGGAAGAAAUAAGCAAAUUUUCUUUGAGGAAAAAAUGUAGCUUGAUCAGCAAACAUCAAAAUAAUUAACUGACAAAAAUGGGACAAAAGGCCAUCAAAAGCAAAGAAAGAGAAAGGAACAACUUCGGAACUCUUGAAGUAAGUGAAUAGCUAAGAUACUGUACAGAACCCUCAAAAGCUCCCAGGCCAUUUGUAGAGAACCCAAGAUUCAGGAAGACACAUUUUAGCCAUAAAGGCUAGAGAAAAGAUGAAAUAAGGACCCUGCAAGGGCAAAUUUGCACUACUGUUUUGAAUUCAAAGGAAGAGGUUUUUGGAGUGUCGAAGAGUACUUACCUAUCACCUCUUUCAAACAGUUGCAUCAUUUCCUACUCUGCAACUGCAAAACAAUCCCAGGGAAAGACAAAUUUGACUUGAAGAACAAUUGCAGCUGGUAUAUGUUUGUCCAUGUGUGCUCCAGGGCACUGUUUCCUUUUGAAUGCAAAGUGUUCCUGUGUUGUUAGGCACAAAGGGGGGGAAAUGUUUUUAUGCCUAAGAAACCCUGAUGGGAGGAAUGGCAAAACUGGAUUUAUAUGAUCAGAAAUGAAAUGAUUUGUUUUAAGUUUGUUUUGAAAUAAAUACAAUUAAAAUAUUGCUGGUAUCACCAGAAAAUGACAACCUUUACAAGUUCAUACAUUGAUGUUAUCUUAUCUCCUACUCUGAUAGUAUACUAUAGCAUUUUGUGUGAGAGUGGAUUACUGUAUUCUCUCUUGUUUAUUCAGAGAGCCAAUUGAUAAAAAAAAAUAAAAAAAAUAUUUACCAAUAAUAUUGGAUGAAAAAUUAUUGUAAGUUGUCUCUGCUCAGAAAACAUCAAUAAUAAUCUGUGCUCAUUUACAGAAAUAUAGUUUACUAUUAAGGUGACCAACUUUUUUACAACAAAAAG